rnacentral:rRNA from 1 species
UACAGAGGUCUCAAGCGUUGUUCGGAAUCAUUGGGCGUAAAGGGUGCGUAGGCGGCGUGGAAUGUCAGAUGUGAAAUCCGGUGGCUCAACCCCCGAAUUGCAUCCGAAACCUCCAUGCUCGAGAGUCGUAGAGGAGCCUGGAAUUCUCGGUGUAGCAGUGAAAUGCGUAGAUAUCGAGAGGAACGCUCGUGGCGAAGGCGAGGCUCUGGGCGACUUCUGACGCUGAUGCACGAAGGCUGGGGGAGCAAACGGG